GGGCGAUUAGCGCAGUGGUAGCGCAGCACGAUCACACCGUGAAGGUCGGGGGUUCAAAUCCCUCAUCGCCCA
rnacentral:tRNA from 1 species